UAAUGAUACGCAGAACCAAUCGUCAUCGUGUAGUAUGAUCAAAUAAUAUUAGAACGUGAAUUAUUUAUUGUUCGAUCUCUUGUUUAUUAGAUAGUCAUCAUUAUAAAAUCAAUUUAUCUUAGGAUAUCGGUUCUAACCGAACGCGCAAGCGUUCUCCUUUACCAUUCAAUAUACGUAUUCCCAGGCGUUAUCUAUGCAAUUGCAAUUUCGAGAUUCACGCAGAGCGAGCACUCUGCCGACGUUGAGAAGCCAUCCGGAAGUCCGUUUCGUAAGAAUUUAAGAAGCGAGGAUGUAAUACAAUAGGUAUACCGCUAAUUGGAAGGAUAAUGAGAGGGAAAUAAAAAGAGAAAAAGAGAGAGAGAGAUAAUGCAAUAUCAUCUUUACAAAUUCAUAUAAAUUCAUUGAGAAAUUCAACUAUGUUAAUACGAAUAUUGGUUAUUUAAUAUCAAAUAACAGAUAAUGAACGUACACUAGUAAUGAAAACUCGUGAUACAUCUAUUCGAUAACGUCAGAACAUGACUCACAAAAUAAAAAUUGAAGAUUUCUAUCUGUCAAGUAUAAACGAUUCUUCAGUUUGCAGUUGCAUCUUCUACAAGAAGAUCGUCAAUAUCUGAAAAUUUUGUUCACAUCAUUGAAAUAUCACGGAUAUUGAAAAUAAAACAUCAAUGUAAUCAAAGUGAACGAUAUCGUUUAUAAUAUUAUUUUCUAAUAUCAUUGAAAGAUAUCAAGAACGAAAUCGUGUUUAAUAUUAAAUUUGUAUAAUUAAUCUCAAUCACGAUGCUUUGGCAAAGAGUAAUAAGAGAGAGAAAAAAAUAAUAUACCAAGUACUAACGUAACAUUUAAUAAUUAAUAUCGUUUUCUCUAAAAACUAAAUUACAAUAUUAUCGUUAUUAUAAAGGUACCUUGUUGGAUCGAAAUUUGGAACAUUUUUAAAAUCAUAUUUCUUAAUUUAAAGGAAAAGAAAAAAAAAAAGAAAAAAAAAAGAAAAAAAAAUAGAGAAUAUUUUAAUUGACAUGGGUGGAA